rnacentral:lncRNA from 1 species
UUGGGAUUAAUAUUAUUAAUUCUAAAUCAAUAACAAUUUUUUUUUUUUUAAGUAAAUUGUUACAGCCCACAAUGGGCAUUUAAAUAACAGUCCCAGCCCAUGCCAUCGAGCCCAGCAGUAGUAGCAGCCCAGACCAGUGGCCCAAACCCAGUUAGGGUUUGAAUCAGCUGCAGGCUUGCAGCAGCCGCCGCUGCUCCUGUUUUUCGAUGCCGGUCGUCGCAGCUCGAAGCCCCGCCGGAGGAGGCUGCGACAUCUCCAAGAGCGCGCGCGUCUCCUCUGUACAAAUCGGUUCAGAGCCACGCCGGAGGAGGUCGCGGCAUCAUCGAUAGUCGCGUGCCAGCGGUUUCUCCCCGCCGGCACACCCCCUUCCGUCUGUUGCGGCUCAAAACAUUAUGGCGGUUGUGAACAGCCGCCAAACACCAUUGUCAGUCUCGCACUACCUUUCCUUCAACCACCGUCGCCCCCACCACGCUGGCGAUCAAGCUUUUGCGGUGGGACAAGGUUUCGGAGUAAGAGAAGCGCGCCGGCUCAAAGCCACGACGCGAUGCAGAUGGCGGUAGGUGGUCGGGCGCAGCACACCCGGCGAGCCCCGAGCCACCUGUGGGUCCGACCGCGCGAUUCCUUCCAGUAACAGUCUCCCCCGCGCCGGUAUCCAAAACCACGCCAGUGGGACUGUUACAAAGAGGCAGAGAGGCAGCGGCGCUUUGGUUCGGAAGCCACAUCGUGUUGCAGACGGCGGUAGGUGGUCAGGCGCGGCACAACGGGGAGCCCUGAGCCACCUUUCGCCGCCUCGUUUAACGAAGUUUCCGGCUCCCACGCCACCUUAGUCGCCACUGCCAGUGGCGGUCGAAGUUGUC